UCCCGGUGUUUUGCAGCCAGUUUGGGGUACCUGGAAUGGAGGAUGCAGUGUUCUGUGAAUCAGUAGACUUGGAGCUCCUUUAAGGAGUCUUUCAUUUUGAAGCCACAAUAAUACAAGAGGCAGGCUGGAGUUAGAACGAUUGGCCUUGAGACUGAAGGAGGUAAACUUGCUCAUGUGGGAACCCAGGGCUUGGACUCAUUAGCCCCAUCAAAAUGAAAAAAAUCAACUCAAAUAAAUAUUAUUUCAUAAGCA